rnacentral:rRNA from 1 species
CUACGGGAGGCAGCAGUAAGGAAUAUUGGUCAAUGGGCGCAAGUCUGAACCAGCCAUGCCGCGUGCAGGAUGACGGCCCUCUGGGUUGUAAACUGCUUUUAUACGGGAAGAAACCUCUGGUUGCGAUCAGAGCUGACGGUACCGUAAGAAUAAGGACCGGCUAACUUCGUGCCAGCAGCCGCGGUAAUACGAAGGGUCCAAGCGUUAUCCGGAUUUAUUGGGUUUAAAGGGUGCGUAGGCGGCUUAUUAAGUCAGUGGUGAAAGACUUCAGCUUAACUGAAGAACUGCCAUUGAUACUGAUGAGCUUGAAUAUACUUGAGGUGGGCGGAAUGUGUCAUGUAGCGGUGAAAUGCUUAGAUAUGACACAGAACACCGAUCGCGAAGGCAGCUCGCUAAAGUAUGAUUGACGCUGAUGCACGAAAGCGUGGGGAGCAAACAGGAUUAGAUACCCUGGUAGUCCACGCCCUAAACGUUGAUAACUCGAUGUGUGCGAUAUACAGUACGCGUCCAAGCGAAAGCAUUAAGUUAUCCACCUGGGAAGUACGGUCGCAAGAUUGAAACUCAAAGGAAUUGACGGCUUGAGACGNGCGAGGACGACACGAGGGAGAGG